GGAGCAUUGCAAAACGUUUCACUAAUGUAAUUUAUGUUCAGAUUCGGCCAGAUCGUCAAACUUUGUACUGGAGUGCUACAUGGCCAAAGGAAGUUGAGCAACUUGCAAGGCAGUUGCUUUAUAACCCUUACAAAGUGGUGAUUGGUUCUUCAGAAUUGAAAGCUAACCAUUCAAUUCACCAAUAUGUGGAUAUUAUGACCGAAAAUCAAAAGUAUAGCAAAUUGAUAAAUGCUUAAUGAGGAAGGUCGAGUGGAUGUGGGACAAGUGACACUUACAACUACACGGUACCUGUCGGGUCGAAACAGUGAGAGACAUGUGGCGAUGUUACGAGUUAGUGCGUUUCGACGACGAACCGGUGGCAUAUGGCGGAGUUGCAAUCCGUCACACAUCAUGCGAGGCGGAAGCGGAAAUUGACAAACUCGAAAGACAUACCCUUCUACUGAAACAUAAUAUAUUAGUGAAUUGGUAAAACGUUAUAUAGAGCUAGCAGGGCCAACCCUGAGAAUUCGUGUACCAUG